GACGAACGCUGGCGGCGUGCCUAAUACAUGCAAGUCGAGCGAGUCUGCCUUGAAGAUCGGAGUGCUUGCACUCUGUGAAACAAGAUACAGGCUAGCGGCGGACGGGUGAGUAACACGUGGGUAACCUGCCCAAGAGAUCGGGAUAACACCUGGAAACAGAUGCUAAUACCGGAUAACAACAGAUGAUGCCUAUCAACUGUUUAAAAGAUGGUUCUGCUAUCACUCUUGGAUGGACCUGCGGUGCAUUAGCUAGUUGGUAGGGUAACGGCCUACCAAGGCGAUGAUGCAUAGCCGAGUUGAGAGACUGAUCGGCCACAUUGGGACUGAGACACGGCCCAAACUCCUACGGGAGGCAACAGUAGGGAAUCUUCCACAAUGGACGCAAGUCUGAUGGAGCAACGCCGCGUGAGUGAAGAAGGGUUUCGGCUCGUAAAGCUCUGUUGUUGGUGAAGAAGGACAGGGGUAGUAACUGACCUUUGUUUGACGGUAAUCAAUUAGAAAGUCACGGCUAACUACGUGCCAGCAGCCGCGGUAAUACGUAGGUGGCAAGCGUUGUCCGGAUUUAUUGGGCGUAAAGCGAGUGCAGGCGGCUCGAUAAGUCUGAUGUGAAAGCCUUCGGCUCAACCGGAGAAUUGCAUCAGAAACUGUCGAGCUUGAGUACAGAAGAGGAGAGUGGAACUCCAUGUGUAGCGGUGAAAUGCGUAGAUAUAUGGAAGAACACCGGUGGCGAAGGCGGCUCUCUGGUCUGUUACUGACGCUGAGGCUCGAAAGCAUGGGUAGCGAACAGG
rnacentral:rRNA from 1 species